rnacentral:rRNA from 1 species
AGUUGCCAGCGGUUAAAGCCGGGCACUCUAGCUGAACUGCCGUUGACAAAACGGAGGAAGGUGGGGAUGACGUCAAAUCAUCAUGCCCUUUAUAUCCUGGGCUACACACGUGCUACAAUGGCCUGUACAGAGGGCAGCGAAGGGGCAACCUGGAGCGAAUCCCAAAAAGCAGGUCUCAGUUCGGAUUGCAGGCUGCAACUCGCCUGCAUGAAGUCGGAAUCGCUAGUAAUCGCAGGUCAGCAUACUGCGGUGAAUACGUUCCCGGGCCUU